rnacentral:rRNA from 1 species
AUUCCAAUCGAACCCGGAGAUAGCUGGUUCUCCCCGAAAUAGCUUUAGGGCUAGCCUGAGGUAGUAAGUAUAGGCGGUAGAGCACUGAUCGGGCUAGGGGCCGUAAAGGUUACCGAACCCUGUCAAACUCCGAAUGGAUAUACUGUAGAGCCUUGGAGUCAGACUACGAGUGAUAAGAUCCGUGGUCAAAAGGGAAACAGCCCAGACCACCAGCUAAGGUCCCCAAUGUCGUACUAAGUGGAAAAGGAUGUGGGGUUUCAUAAACAACCAGGAUGUUGGCUCAGAAGCAGCCACCAUUUAAAGAGUGCGUAAUAGCUCACUGGUCGAGAGACCCUGCGCCGAAGAUUCCCGGGGCUAAAGUACGAAACCGAAGCUGUGGCUGUAUACGUAAAGUAUACGGGGUAGGGGAGCGUUCCCAUAGGGUAGAAGUCGAACUGGAAGGUUCGGUGGACUUGUGGGAAGUGAGAAUGUUGGUAUGAGUAGCGAAAAGAAAGGUGAGAAUCCUUUCCACCGAAAGCAUAAGGAUUCCUGAGCAACGAUCGUCGUCUCAGGGUAAGUCGGGACCUAAUCCGAGGCAGAGAGCGUAGGAGAUGGACAACUGGUUGAUAUUCCAGUACCGGUAGUAAUUGUUUGAGCAAUGGAGUGACACAGAAGGGCAGGCAAGCAUGCGAAUGGAAGAGCAUGUGUAAGCGUGUAGGGUGGUGCAUAGGCAAAUCCGUGCACUGAAAGCCUGAGGCGUGAUGCGGAGUGAGCAGAGAUGCGAGCGAAGUUGUUGACCCCACACUGUCGAGAAAAGCUUCUAGUGAGAGAGCUACCGCCCGUACCGUAAACCGACACAGGUAUGCGGGGAGAGAAUCCUAAGGUGCGCGGGAGAACCCUCGUUAAGGAACUCGGCAAAAUGUACCCGUAACUUCGGGAUAAGGGUAGCCACUGUUGUGAAGUCCCAUGCGGAUGGAGCAUAGAGUGGUCGCAGAGAAGAGGCCCAAGCGACUGUUUACCAUAAACACAGGUGCCUGCUAAAGCGAAAGCUGACGUAUAGGUGCUGACACCUGCCCAGUGCCGGAAGGUUAAGGAAGGAUGUUCGGAUUAGUCCAAAGCAUUCGACUGAAGCCCCGGUGAACGGCGGCCGUAACUAUAACGGUCCUAAGGUAGCGAAAUUCCUUGUCGGGUAAGUUCCGACCCGCACGAAAGGUGUAACGAUUUGGGCACUGUCUCAACGAGGGACCCGGUGAAAUUGAAAUACCUGUGAAGAUGCAGGUUACCCGCGACUGGACAGAAAGACCCCAUGGAGCUUUACUGUAACCUGACAUUGGGUUUUGAUACAUUACGUACAGGAUAGGUGGGAGGCAUGGAAAGCUGGACGCUAGUCUGGCUGGAGCCGACGUUGGGAUACCACCCUUGAUGUAUUGAAAUUCUAACCGCGAGAGUAACGAAAUCCGGGACAGUGUCAGGCGGGCAGUUUGACUGGGGCGGUCGCCUCCGAAAGAGUAACGGAGGCGCGGCCGGAAAUCGCGCGAAGAGUGUAAAGGCAGAAGGGAGCUUGACUGCGAGUCAAACACGACGAGCAGGUACGAAAGUAGGGCUUAGUGAUCCGGUGGUACCGAGUGGAAGGGCCAUCGCUCAACGGAUAAAAGCUACCCUGGGGAUAACAGGCUAAUCUCUCCCAAGAGUCCAUAUCGACGGGGAGGUUUGGCACCUCGAUGUCGGCUCAUCACAUCCUGGGGCUGUAGUCGGUCCCAAGGGUUGGGCUGUUCGCCCAUUAAAGUGGUACGUGAGCUGGGUUCAGAACGUCGUGAGACAGUUCGGUCCCUAUCCAUCGCGGGCGCAAGAGAUUUGAAGGGGGCUGCUCCUAGUACGAGAGGACCGGAGUGGACGAACCGCUGGUGUACCAAUUAUCCCGCCAGGGGUACAGUUGGGUAGCUACGUUCGGAAAGGAUAAACGCUGAAAGCAUCUAAGCGUGAAACCAGCCUUAAGAUGAGAUCUCUCAUAGAGCAAUCUAGUAAGACACCUUAAAGAAGAUGAGGUUGAUAGGUCGGGAGUGUAAGUACAGCAAUGUAUUGAGCGGACCGAUACUAAUAUGUCGAGGGCUUGACUUA